GCAGCCCCCCUGGCUGUGGGGCUGAUGGAUUUGCUUCGGGGCCAGGGGGGGCCUGGGCUUCAGAUUGGAGCUCAAGACACUGGAAAAGGCUAGAGCCUUGGAGUCAAACCCUGUUUGGUGGGUUUUAGACGGGGAGGCCUAGCUAGAGAAAGACGGGGGUCAGACCUGUGUAGGUGAAAGGCCCCAACAUACAAAAUACAAUAGGCAGUCUCCCACUCGCAAGAACAUCAACAGUAAUUUCCAUCAAAAUGUGGCAGGCAUCUAACACACACAUACACUUGGUGGGCAAAGAGAGCACUGCCAGCCAGCUGAUGGCUCCUUGCCAUGAUGAUCUGCUACUGCAUCAGAUCCAGAUGGGCAGCCACGAUGUUCCUGCCAGCGAGUCAGGGUUGGCUCAGCUGUUUGGCUCUGCCUAGGAGUCUUUAGCAGCUUGGGGAGCCCUCAGGGCAUGGUGGACUUGAGCUAUUCAGGCAGGCUCUGAGCCUCUUCCUUCAGCCCCAGAAGUAAUGAGUGUUCUGCUUUCUCCCAACCUAAACAAGGACACUUAAAGCUCAAAAGUUAUAGUGCUUCCACUGCAGGCUUCUUAAAAACCUGUGUGAAUUGCUGGGUGUGUACCGUGCCAUCUUUAUCUUAAAUUUUCCUUUAUGUUAAAUGGAUGUGUAACUAAGCAAGAUGUCACCUACAAUGUGGCCUGACUGUCCUUUUCAUCCUCGCAGUUUAUAAAGAGAAUCACUUUCCUUUACCUCUACUUUUGUGUCCAUUUUUAUUACUUGCCAUAUAUGAAUGAAUAGAUUUAUCCUG